GAUAAAUAAGGGGCAAUUUGCAUUGUAUGGCUUCUAAACCAUUUAAAGUUUAUAAUUUAUUUUAUAAACGACAAUGGAUGUGAUGCCAAUGUAAUUUGUAACAUAGUAAAUUAGGAGGAUCUUCGAUCACCUGAUGCCGCGCUAGUUACAUAUAAAAGCAUUAUUUAAUACAAUGACAAAGCCUAGAAUCAAUUGUAAACGACUUUUGUAACAGGCAAGGUGUUGUAAGUGGUUGAGCAGCUGCCAUACUGCGAUCCACUGAAGCUUAUCCUUUGCUUGAUGAUUCGA
rnacentral:ncRNA from 1 species